AGCGAACGCUGGCGGCAGGCUUAACACAUGCAAGUCGAACGGGCGUAGCAAUACGUCAGUGGCAGACGGGUGAGUAACGCGUGGGAACGUACCUUUUGGUUCGGAACAACCCAGGGAAACUUGGGCUAAUACCGGGAUAAGCCCUUACGGGGAAAGAUUUAUCGCCGAAAGAUCGGCCCGCGUCUGAUUAGCUAGUUGGUGUGGUAACGGCGCACCAAGGCGACGAUCAGUAGCUGGUCUGAGAGGAUGAUCAGCCACAUUGGGGACUGAGACACGGCCCAAACUCCUACGGGAGGCAGCAGUGGGGAAUAUUGGACAAUGGGCGCAAGCCUGAUCCAGCCAUGCCGCGUGAGUGAUGAAGGCCCUAGGGUUGUAAAGCUC
rnacentral:rRNA from 1 species